rnacentral:rRNA from 1 species
UAGGGAAUCUUCCGCAAUGGACGCAAGUCUGACGGAGCAACGCCGCGUGAGUGAAGAAGGAUUUCGGUUCGUAAAACUCUGUUGUUAGAGAAGAACAGCGCAUAGAGUAACUGUUAUGCGUGUGACGGUAUCUAACCAGAAAGCCACGGCUAACUACGUGCCAGCAGCCGCGGUAAUACGUAGGUGGCAAGCGUUGUCCGGAUUUAUUGGGCGUAAAGCGAGCGCAGGCGGUCAAUUAAGUCUGAUGUGAAAGCCCCCGGCUCAACCGGGGAGGGUCAUUGGAAACUGGUUGACUUGAGUGCAGAAGAGGGGAGUGGAAUUCCAUGUGUAGCGGAGAAAUGCGUAGAUAUAUGGAGGAACACCAGUGGAGAAGGCGACUCUCUGGUCUGUAACUGACGCUGAGGCUAGAAAGCGUGGGUAGCAAACAGG